rnacentral:rRNA from 1 species
UACGAAGGGUGCUAGCGUUGCUCGGAAUCACUGGGCGUAAAGGGCGCGUAGGCGGCCAUUCAAGUCGGAGGUGAAAGCCCAGGGCUCAACCCUGGAAUUGCCUUCGAUACUGUUUGGCUAGAGACCGGAAGAGGUAAGUGGAACUGCGAGUGUAGAGGUGAAAUUCGUAGAUAUUCGCAAGAACACCAGUGGCGAAGGCGGCUUACUGGUCCGGUUCUGACGCUGAGGCGCGAAAGCGUGGGGAGCAAACAGG